rnacentral:rRNA from 1 species
CCUACGGGAGACAGCAGUGGGGGAUAUUGGACAAUGGGGGAAACCCUGAUCCAGCGACGCCGCGUGAGUGAAGAAGUAUUUCGGUAUGUAAAGCUCUAUCAGCAGGGAAGAAAGAAAUGACGGUACCUGAGUAAGAAGCCCCGGCUAACUACGUGCCAGCAGCCGCGGUAAUACGUAGGGGGCAAGCGUUAUCCGGAAUUACUGGGUGUAAAGGGAGCGUAGACGGUAAUGCAAGUCUGGAGUGAAAGGCCGGGGCCCAACCCCGGGACUGCUCUGGAAACUGCCUGGCUGGAGUACAGGAGAGGUAAGUGGAAUUCCUAGUGUAGCGGUGAAAUGCGUAGAUAUUAGGAGGAACAACAGUGGCGAAGGCGGCUUACUGGACUGUAACUGACGUUGAGGCUCGAAAGCGUGGGGAGCAAACAGGAUUAGAUACCCGAGUAGUC